GUAAUUCCAGCUCUGCCCUUGAACUUCAGGCUGUUUUUCACUCCUGUUUACUGUGAAGUACUUAGCAAGACUGCCAUGUAGCUUUCUGGGGAACUGCUUCCCAGGUGGCGCAGUGGUUGAGAAUCUGCUUGCUAAUGCAGGGGACAUGGGUUCAAGCCCUGGUCUGGGAAGAUCCCACAUGCCGCGGAGCAACUAGGCCCGUGAGCCACAACUACUGAGCCUGCGCGUCUGGAGCCUGUGCUCCGCAACAAGAGAGGCCGCAAUAGUGAGAGGCCCGCGCGCCGCGAUGAAGAGUGGCCCCCGCUUGCCACAACUAGAGAAAGCCUUCGCACAGAAACGAAGACCCAAGACAGCCAAAAAAAUAAAUAAAUAAACAAAUGUGGGGUUUAAAAAAAAAAA